CUCCAGAAAGGGCUGUUUAGUGUAGGUCUUGAAGCAAAUUUUUGAAAGGAAAAGAAUAUCUCCUAAAAUACAAUAAAUUGGCUAAUUGACAGCUACAAGGCCUUCUUUCCUUGGAGACCGCGAUGCUACAUGUAUCUUGUUGUAGGAAUACAGAUUAAAAUUAUUUCAAAGAACAUUAGUUGCUGCUGUAUCCUUUGGAGAAGAUGUAUUGUGUUUCAAAUGACUGAGAAUUCUUGUUAUUAUUGCUAGUUUGCUAGCGCUGUUCAUCGAGAAAACAAAGAAAAUGGGCUCUAAAUGACUUGGUUUCAUCCCAUUUAUUUUUAAAUGGGAAAAGAAUUAGGCAGCCAGUCUGAAUUUGGCAUAAGAAUUAAUGUUUCAUGAGAACUCGUGGAAUAAAAGACCAGUAAAUGCAACCUAGCAGUGGUUUCUAGGGAAGCAUUAUUUUAUUUACCCUACAGUUUGCAGAAGUAACAGAAAAGACUAAGACAAGAAGCCUGUCAGCUGUGGAAGUAGAUCUAAGGGAUACUGGAUCUUUGAGAAGUGCACAAACAAACUACAGGUUAUGUGCUCUGGGAAUAAUUUUGGUAAUCACUGAAGUGUAUUGUGGAUGUCUUUUGGAAAAAAAAUUAUUAAAAUGACUCAUAUUUCUUGCGCUUAAAUAUUAUGCUUGGAAGAAAAAGCGUCUCUAAAAGAAAUCAUGAGGAAAAGGAAGAAUCCCAUUCACUUCCAACAGUUCAGUCACCCUAAUGAUGACGACUAUCAUGACAUGGAGAUGAUAUCUCAGGAUAACAACGACAACCGGCCCGAGUGUCCAUAUGGAACAGCUUGUUAUAGGAAGAACCCACAGCACAAGCUGUAAUACAAGCACACUGCGCUUCCAGGAACUGAAAGAGGAACCCGACAACAAACUUCAAGAAAUGGAAAAAGGGCUGUGGAGAAAGACAGUGCCAAUGAUGGUGAAGCCAAUGAGUAUGACCUCAAUGACAGCUUUAUAGAUGAUGAGGAAGAGGAGUGUGAAGCUACUGAUGAGGACUCGGACUGGGAACCAAGUUCAGAAGAAAAGGACAAUGAGGAUGUUGAAACACUUGUGCAAGAAGCAGGUAGAUUUGUUAAGACCAAAAAAUAGCUGCUUGGAACAAUGCUACGAGUUUCCAAUGUGGUUCUGUUAAAACAUGGUUGCACAGAGGAGAGGAAUUUUUUGAAAACUUUUUCUCAGUGAUGUAGAAGCUACAGGAAGAUUUUAGUGGGGCCGAGGGAUUCAGCAAUGCCUUUUUGUCCAUAUGUAUUAUUUUGGGGGUGGUGUGGUGCUUUUUUUAUGAAGUGGUGGACCCACAGGAUGGAGCUCUGAAAGUUUUGGUUGUUUUUUCUUUCUUUUCUUCAUCUAUUUGUUUUACAGUUACUCUGAAAUACAAUUUUAAAGGUUGGUAAAACUUCAUCUCCCUAUGCUUGAAAGAAAUACUGGCAUUAGGAAAGCCUAAACCAUUUUUUAAUGUUCCUUUGAGUUAGUGCAGUUGUAAACUUCAUUAUUCUGCUCCCAACCUUUGUUGGUUCUCUUGAGGUACCGUAAUUAAAUACAGGUUGUCUAAAUCACUUGAGAACAGUAUCUCAAAGUGUAUUGAACCACUUGGCUGACUCAACAACAGUUAUGGUGUAUUUGUUCCAAUUACAACAGUACCUCUUUCCAUGCCUGUAUAUCACUGGAAUUGUGUUCAGUUCUCAGCAAAGCUGAAGUCUUGAUGACUGACUGUAUUUUUGCACAAAUAAACUUGUAACAUACAGUAGGAAA